rnacentral:rRNA from 1 species
AUUAAAGAGUAAGGGUGCUCAGCGCCCGACCUCCAACCCUUUGUUGUUAAAACUACCUUGUUGCUUUGGCGGGACCGCUCGGUCUCGAGCCGCUGGGGAUUCGUCCCAGGCGAGCGCCCGCCAGAGUUAAACCAAACUCUUGUUAUUUAACCGGUCGUCUGAGUUAAAAUUUUGAAUAAAUCAAAACUUUCAACAACGGAUCUCUUGGUUCUCGCAUCGAUGAAGAACGCAGCGAAAUGCGAUAAGUAAUGUGAAUUGCAGAAUUCAGUGAAUCAUCGAAUCUUUGAACGCACAUUGCGCCCCUUGGUAUUCCGAGGGGCAUGCCUGUUCGAGCGUCAUUACACCACUCAAGCUAUGCUUGGUAUUGGGUGCCGUCCUUAGUUGGGCGCGCCUUAAAGACCUCGGCGAGGCCUCACCGGCUUUAGGCGUAGUAGAAUUUAUUCGAACGUCUGUCAAAGGAGAGGACUUCUGCCGACUGAAACCUUUAUUUUUCUAGGUUGACCUCGGAUCAGGUAGGGAUACCC